rnacentral:rRNA from 1 species
GACAGAUAGGGAGCUUGCUCCCUGAUGUUAGCGGCGGACGGGAGAGUAACACGUGGGUAACCUGCCUGUAAGACUGGGAUAACUCCGGGAAACCGGGGCUAAUACCGGAUGGUUGAUUGAAACGCAUGGUUAAAUUAUAAAAGGUGGCUUUUAUCUACCAUUUUAAAAUGGACCCCCUGCCCAUUAGCUAAUUGGGAAGGAAAGGGUUCACCAUGGAAACAAUCCUAAACCAACUUAAAAGGUUAUUCGACCGACUGGGAACUGAGACACGGCCGGAAUUCCUACGGAAGGAACAUUUAGGAAUUCUUCCGCAUUGAACAAAGUUCUAACGAACAAACGCCCCUUGAGUGAUGAGGGUUUUCGAAUCUAAAUGCUCUGUUGUUAGGGAAAUAAUAAUUACCU